rnacentral:lncRNA from 1 species
GCGACACAGCCACACAGGAAAAUGAUAGAGACGCGGCAGGCUAGUCAAAGAGCCCUGAGAAGUUUAAGCAGCAGGGAGCACAGGCUGUGAAGGAUCCAGUGGUCAGCAGUACCACCUUCUGUGAAACAGAUGCCUUGCUAAAGACAUCACCUCACUGGCUCAAUUCCAACAGACUCUUCAACGGCUACCGGGAGCAGGUAUUAAGGGACUGCCAAAGGCUCAGGUCCCCAAUGACUGCCUCCCUCUAGGCAUGAUUUCUCUCCAGAACAUCUUGCCAAGCCAGCCACCAUUCUCAGAGACAUGCUAAAUGAGGUUCUGAAAGAGGAAACACUGUAUCUAAGUAUGGUCCAAGGGUCACAGGAACAAUGAGAAAAGGUAUCACAGGGAGACUUCUGUAGCAGGGCAGACUGGAGCCUUGGCAGGCCUUCUCCCCACACUGGAAUACAUGCAGCUCCAAAGAAUACCACCUAGUCUCUUUCUACACCCAAACCUGGCCUGUGCACCCACC